AGUCCAUCUGGCGGCGAGAGGAACAUUGAGUCAUUAUCAGCACAAUGCAGGGCAGGAUCGCUGAAAGUAACAGAGGUCACAAAAAAGAAGGGCACACAGCAGAUGAAUCAUCGACCAAGAAGUCAGCGUGUCCUUGGAAAAUACUUUUUGGUAUCCAAUUAAAUGGAAUUUGGAAGCUGACAAGAUCAUCGCCUGGAAACAUCAGUCGCUUUUAAUGACUGUGAAAUGUUGUUGCGCGUGAAAUGAACAUUUAAAGAUCUAGUGGCAGGCAGGACUCAAUGUCCCCGAGGUGGAAAGGAACAUUGAGUCCAAAGCAAAGUGACGCUGCGCCUGGUGGGGAGGCUGACCUUCGGUCUACGCUUAAACCCACUGACAUCUCCUUACGGGAUCUCGCUUUACUUUUUCAAAUUGUAAAAAGUGCCAAACUUUGAUGUCCUCGGGUUCAUUUGACAGUGCUGUGACAAUGUGAAGAAAUGAUUGCAAACUGCACCGAGUAAACAACUAAAGGAAUGACUAAUUGGAUGUGCUGUGCUUCUAGUAUAUAUUGAUAUACAAGAAAUUGGUAACUCACUAUUAGCGGGUGAAGUCCAUUGUACAUGAGCACAUCUGCUAAAGUGAAGUGGUUGCCGGCCAUGCAAACUUUGUCUUGCAAGUAGAGGUUGAGGUCCUGGAAGAGCAAACAUAAAAACAAAACACAUCAGGUGUGUGUGUGUGGUGUGCUCCUCUGGAGGGAAAAAGGAAAGACUUCAUAACUUCUUUUAAUAGCUUUAUAAAAAAAAAAAAAAGUGGCUUGUAGUCUGGUUUGAAUACAAAUCUAUUUUUGUGCAAAACUUUUGACUGCGCCCGUGUUAACAACUCUGUAGGCAAGAAAAAGAAGACUAUAGAAUCAUCCUCUACUUUGACUGUAAAAAGGAAAGCAUGACAGCAGGUUCAUGAACCUAUAUGUUAAAUCGAGGAUUCAUUUGCGUGUGCGCUAUAAGGAAGGCAAUCAUGUAUAUCCUGAGGGGCUUUGUGCCUCGUCCAUGACUAGCGACUUAGCGCAGAUGCCACGAAACAGGCUGUUUGUUGACUCCAACUCUCUUUUUUUGCAGAUCUAAUGAAGCUGUCGAAACUUGGGGACACGGAAGUGCUGGUCCCAGGGGAGGGGGACCAUCUUUAGCACUUGCAACUCUCGCCAUGCACACUGAGCAUCUUGGGGGCAAAUGGAGUUAUUGUGCGGCAAAAGUGGCUGAUGCCAAACAAGGCAUGAAGACUGCAGACUUCCACCAUCGGAUCCUUGCUCUUUGUAGCCUACAGCCAUGGAGCUGAAGACCAGUCGAGCAUUGGAAGGGAGGCAGGCGGUGUUGCUUGGGAAAAAUACAGCUGUUCAUUCUUUGCAGAUAACACAAAUGAAGUCAAGACUUUGGGCUGAUCGAUUGAUGGAAAUCAAAUUCGUGUUGGAAUGAGGAAUAGCCGCCGUCUGUGUGAAAAGUGUGUUUUCAGUUUGCACCCUGGGGUGAAAA